UACAGAGGUCUCAAGCGUUGUUCGGAUUCAUUGGGCGUAAAGGGUGCGUAGGCGGCGCGGUAAGUCGGGUGUGAAAUCUUGGAGCUUAACUCCGAAACUGCAUUCGAUACUGCCGUGCUUGAGGACUGGAGAGGAGACUGGAAUUUACGGUGUAGCGGUGAAAUGCGUAGAUAUCGUAAGGAACACCAGGUGGCGAAGGCGGCUCACUG
rnacentral:rRNA from 1 species